UGGGCCAUCGUAUUACUAUCAG
rnacentral:miRNA from 1 species